rnacentral:SRP_RNA from 2 species
GCCAAGCUAAUGUUGCGCUAGCUCAUGAUUCAAGCGAGGGCAUUGAAGUGGCAGAAACCACAGUUUGACUCAUCUUGCAGAGUUGGCAGUUGCAACUUGCCGGCUCACCCAUUCUAAAUUGUGAGUUGGGUCAUGUGGUCCAUGCGAAGGCUCGAGCCGUGUGUCUCUUUAGACCAGAGGGCACACCGUGAGGCUACUUUCACAUAGCAACGAAAACCUCCCACUCACAACAGUAUAGGGAUAAUGGGUCAGUGCCUGCCAAUCCACAUUUGCAUGAUGGGUUCAGAUGAUAUCACCAAUUUU